rnacentral:rRNA from 1 species
AUAUCAAUAAGCGGAGGAAAAGAAACCAACAGGGAUUGCCCUAGUAACGGCGAGUGAAGCGGCAACAGCUCAAAUUUGAAAUCUGGCCUCUGGUCCGAGUUGUAAUUUGUAGAAGGUGCUUCGGGUGCGACGACGGUCCAAGUCCCCUGGAACUGGGCGUCAUAGAGGGUGAAAAUCCCGUACGGGGCCGAUCGUCAAUCCCAUGCGAAGCCCUUUCGACGAGUCGAGUUGUUUGGGAAUGCAGCUCUAAAUGGGUGGUAAAUUUCAUCUAAAGCUAAAUACCUGCCAGAGACCGAUAGCGCACAAGUAGAGUGAUCGAAAGAUGAAAAGCACUUUGAAAAGAGAGUCAAACAGUACGUGAAAUUGUUGAAAGGGAAGGGCUUGCAACCAGACUCGUUCGCGGGGGCUCAGCUGCCUUUCGGGACAGUGUAUUCCCCCGUGGUCGGGCCAGCAUCGGUUUCGGCGACCGGAUAAAGGCUUCGGGAACGUAGCUCUCUUCGGAGAGUGUUAUAGCCCGGGGUGUAAUGCGGCCUGCCGGGACCGAGGACCGCGCAUUCGCUAGGAUGCUGGCGUAAUGGUUGCCAGCCACCCGUCUUGAAACACGGACCAAGGAGUCGACCAACCGCGCGAGUGUUUGGGUGUCAAACCCAGGCGCGUAAUGAAAGUGAACGUAGGUGGGAACCUCCGGGUGCACCAUCGACCGAUCUUGAUGUCUUCGGAUGGAUUUGAGUACGAGCACGGCUGGUCGGACCCGAAAGAUGGUGAACUAUGCGUGAAUAGGGUGAAGCCAGAGGAAACUCUGGUGGAGGCUCGCAGCGGUUCUGACGUGCAAAUCGAUCGUCAAAUUUGCGCAUAGGGGCGAAAGGUACGUUUGUCUUUUUUUCUUCUUUCCCCCUUUUUGGGGUGUUGAGUACGCUAACUCCCUUGACAGACUAAUCGAACCAUCUAGUAG